rnacentral:lncRNA from 1 species
AAUUUAGUCUCGACUCUGAUCUUAAUUUGAACGUAAAACUAGUGGGAAGCACACUGCACUUGUUUACCAUAUCUCAGGAAAAUAUUUUUUUUUUUAUUUGAAAAAAAUUCCAAAACAAAGUCUGCCAAUUACUUUUCUUUCACAAACUAUGUUUGAGCAAACAAAUGCUUCUGUUGAAAUCGAGAACUAAAUUUCACCACAUGACCAGGAUCUCAACUAAUGAACUCAGACUCGGCAUAAACGUAAACAGCAAGAGAAUACUGAUUCUGGAGAUUCACGUGCAAGAGUUUGCAUUAGGCUCUUCAAAAUGUUGAGUGGAACAGAAAAUCAUUAAAUCAAGUUAGCAAAUAGGGAAGCUGUGGAGAACAGUGAUGGGAUUGUCUAAAUAAAACACUAUGACAUGGAUCAUAAAGGGAGCCAAAUAGAAACAUGCUCCAUGUUGCUGGUUUUCUUCGUACGAUGCUAACAUACACUGCCCAGGAUGAAUCAAGGUGUCAUCUUUGAAACGAAAAAAGACUGUAAAAAGAGGCCGCGGAAGCUACCAAGAAUAGAAGAAAAUUACACCACCAAUCCACCAUUAAAGAAUCCACCUG